rnacentral:rRNA from 1 species
GACGAACGCUGGCGGCGUGCUUAACACAUGCAAGUCGAACGGUGAAGGGACCGGUUUUUGCUGGUUCUGGAUGAGUGGCGAACGGGUGAGUAACACGUGAGUAACCUGCCCCCUUCUUCUGGAUAACCGCAUGAAAGUGUGGCUAAUACGGGAUAUUCUGCGCCUGCUGCAUGGUGGGUGUGGGAAAGAUAUUGUUUCGGUGGGGGAUGGGCUCGCGGCCUAUCAGCUUGUUGGUGGGGUGAUGGCCUACCAAGGCGGUGACGGGUAGCCGGCCUGAGAGGGUGGACGGUCACACUGGGACUGAGACACGGCCCAGACCCCUACGGGAGGCAGCAGUGGGGAAUAUUGCACAAUGGGCGCAAGCCUGAUGCAGCGACGCCGCGUGAGGGAUGGAGGCCUUCGGGUUGUAAACCUCUUUCGCCAGUGAAGCAGGCCUGUCCCUUUUGUGGGUGGGUUGACGGUAGCUGGAUAAGAAGCGCCGGCUAACUACGUG